rnacentral:lncRNA from 1 species
GUUAUUAAACACAGGCUUUGAUGAUGACACAUUUCCCAUGUUCAUAACUUGUGAUUGGUGAAGAAACAGCUGAGGCCUAGAUAAGUUAUGUGCCCAAUGCCACACAGCUAGAAAGCUACAAAGCUGAAGUUUGAACCCAACUCAUCUUGGUCCAGAGUCUGUGCACAGAAGUCCUCAUACAUCCAGCACUCAGCCUGCUCUUGAGCAAAAGGUACAUGUCCAACUUAAGAAAGCGUUUACUACUAGAGAUCGCUGAAAAAAUCAUAAGUCAUUUCAAUCAGGUUGAAUGCACUGCCCCAGAGAUGUUCAAGAAGAGGUUCAAGGACUUCUUAGGACGGAGUUUUAUGAGAGGCACCAACAUUGAAGACAUCAAAUCCAAUUGUAAAGUCCUUCCAAAUGGAAGAUUGUAAAAGCAUCUAAAGGUCUAUUCUGGAUGGGAAGAUAACAUGGGCAAAGGUAAUGACUAUCUGGGAGGAGCAGACCAGUAUGGCUGUAAUGAGAAAUUCAUGGAGAAGAGUGGUUUCCAGUAAUGCUGCAAAAAUCGGCUAGAAUCAGAUUGCGAGAGACCCUGAAUGUCAGCAAAAUCGGGUUUUGGUCUUAAUCCUCUUAAUCCUUUAACUGAUGGGAAGACUUAAAGAGUUCCUCCUCUGGAAAGUGAUAAAGUUUUGCCUUUUUUUUUUUUUUCUAGUUUGGAGUUUUUUGUUUUGUUUUGUUUUUGAUACAAAGGGUAUGAAGUAAAUUAAUCAGAUGACAUUCUUGAUCUACUGCGAAUGACUCAGUCAAGCCUCUUUUGCAUCUUCUCUUCCUCCCACUGUCCACAAGGUGGCACCAGAACUCAAAAUCAGAACUCCCUGGAAGGUUGUCUAACUGUUCCAAGCCUUUCCUGUAGGAUGACUCCUAUAAAGAUACUUUUGAGGAGUUAACAAUUUUCGUCUUAACUGACUGCAACGUUCUGAAGAACUUCUGGGGACUGUGCCAGUUUAGAGACUAUUGUAGACCAAAAUCAUAAACAACACAUCCUACAGAAAAUGCUAAUGAUCAACUGGACGUUGAUACAGUGGAAUUUGUUCGACCCUCGAUGACUUCCAGAAGGGGGGAGCUGUUCUAGUUCACAAGAUGGAGAGGUUUGUCAGGUGGCCGGUUAAAUAAGCUUCUUGACACUUAACUCUAGGUAGGAUGUGGAAGAAGAUGAAAGUCUGAGCCAACUUACUACCUAAUUCUUCAGGAAAGAAAUGUGAGAGUACAGCACUGUGUCCCCUCUUACCUUUCCAAGUGGCUUUUCAUGCUGUCAACUACUUUACACUGCAGAGGGCUCUCUCCUUUACAUAUUUCUUAAGCAAUUUUUUUUUCUUAAUGUCACAGUUCUGCUUUUCUUUUGUCUUUUUUUUUUUUUUUUUAAAUAAUGAGAGGGAAGCAGGCUUUCAAUUUGUUGGAAAGUUUCUGUUCUCACCAACCUCUAUAAAAAGCAAUCAUUCUUGGUCACUUGUAAAUAUGCCUAGUACGCGUAUCAGGCUUCCUAUUUUAAACAUCUAAGACUAGUUUGUAUGAUUCGAAAUUUCAAAAGGCAAAAUGGCCUAGCACCCAAAUCACAGGUAAGUGGGCACAUGGCAUUUUCCCCUAAAUCCUUCAAACUGAAAUUUGAGGAGGAAACACAAAGUUAGUGAGCGUGUGACAAAGCAGGUAUUGUUUAUAAAGAUAAAGAGGCUUCUGUCUAAAUACCAUGGUCUCAAUUUCCCAGAUUCUAGAGAAAAAGAAAAAAAAAGUAAGUAUUCUAUUUAAUUUUAUUUACUUGAAAUUCUUAUGUUUUAGUUUUUCCAAACCUGUCUCUUCUAAAAUGGGCAGUAGAAAAGAGAGGCUAAUAUAGAUGAUAGACUGAUGGACUUGGAUAAAUAAUUAAUGGCCUGGAGUAAUUAGCUGGAAGAUGUUUAAUCAUUAAUUUGUCUGAGUCAUCAGAAGCAUUUGAGCUUACCCAUAAAAUAUUCCACUAAUCAUGAGUGUGUAUAUUUUGUCAAGAUGGAAAUUAAUAUGAGAUGAGAAUUAGCACUUUGAAAAAUUAAAAUACAGGACAAGUCUGUUUGGUCUACUCUUUGUUUAAGAUAAAUGAAAUUUUGCUUUCCUUUACUGUACCUAAUGAGAAAAAAAAGGUACAUAAAUUCUAUCUGUACACAUAACCAAGAAGUCAAACUUUUUGGUUGGAGAGGCAAAGUAAUUGGCAAGUUUGUCUUUCUUUAGGGACUUAUUUAGGGGGUAGGAGAGCAAAAACAAAAACACUUCAUUAUUAAAGUAUCUGGUGAACAAUUAGGCCUCUUUCAGAGGAUUUAAGGGGAAAGGGUCCUGUAACAUAAUGCAAUUUAUGGCUGUGUUCUUCAAUGUGGUGUUUUCCAAUACAAUUUUAUUACAGGCUCUAAAUUAUACUUUCACAGGAAAGGUCUGUCUUUAAACUUUUAGGUCACAAUUGUUCAGAUCUUUUCACACUGAAUCAAUCAGGUUUAAAGCUGGCAAAAUCCUUGGCAGCCUUGUAAAUCUUUCAAAAGAUGUUAUCCAAUUACCCUUCAUGGGCCACAGGAUUCUACAGCAUGACUAUUUCCUUCUCUAUGAGGAAUUAAGUGCUCAUGAGAGGUUAGAAACCAAUGGAGUUGAAAAGCAAGGUUCUGCAUUUUUCCUCCAGUUCACAUGGUAGAGAUAUAGGCAGCUACUGAGAUUUCCUGAGAUCUGCCACAGACAUUCUGGCCCUCCUGGCAUCAUUAAAAUUUUAAUUGCUUUAAAUCAGAAAAAAAAAAAAAAAAAAGAAGACAUUAACACCAGAAUGGUUCUUGUUACAAAACCUUAUUUUUGGAGCUGUAUUAAGGAUUUACCAGAAGAACAUGUUCCAAAUGGAAAGCAUAAGAGAUCACUAUUACUCUUAGUUACUUUUGCAAGAAAAACAUUUUUAGGUACAGUCAGUAAAUACACAAGGGAUUGAAAAAGAAAAUAACAAAGAGGAUAAAUGUACUUCUUUAGUCUGUGUUGAUCUAAAAAAUGUGCUUAUUUUCCAUUUAAAAAACACAUAUUAAUCUCUGUUAGUUCUUCCUCUUCUAGGUUUCCGAUAUAGAAUACUAAUAAAAGGCUAAGGAGACAUUCAAUUUAUAUAAAAGCCUAUUUCAUGCCACUUGGUUUCAAGGGAGAAAAUAAUCAUGGGCAGAAUCAUUUGAAAAUAAUUUUUCAAGGAAAAAUGUGAACAUGUAGCUAGAUUGCUUCACAGAAGUUAGGAAAGCACAGCUUUCCUUUGUCAUGUAAAAAGCAGAGUGGAGGUUAUGGGAUUCCAGCUGCACCUUUGACCUCAAGGCUUCUUGAGUCACUCACUUGUCAUGACCUUUGACCUUUGGCAAAUCAUGACCCUAUCUGUUUCGCUUGAUUUUUACUAUCUACAACAAAAGGCCUUUUCCCCUCUGGAACACAUAAGCAGAAGUCAUAUAAAUGUUUGCAAAUAGUUUGUCCGCCAACCAUCAGGCAAAGAGAGAAGAAGUAUAAAAAAAAAUUACAAAGCAUGGAGGAAAAUGCUCUAACAUAUAAAGUUUCCUCCAGUGGCGUAGAUUGAUUUCAAUGACUACAGUGUAAACACCUGGAUUCAUGUUCCCUCUUUUAAAAAUCUUUACUUUCUUUGAUUUAAAAUAUAAUGUAGUAAGAGGUGAAAAGAUUGGUGUUUUAAUAAAUUAUACUUCUUGUACUUUGCACUCUAGUCACUAAAAAUUGCAGACAUCAUCUCACAGCUGUGUGUUAUCAAUACCUCCUUUUACUCACUUUCUAGAUUGUUUCCAUUUCCAAAGAAAUGCAAUUCCUUUUUACAAGAUUGUGAGUGAAAGGUAAAUAUGUGCAAACUUUGGGAAUAAAAUGUAGUGUUGGAGCUAACUCAAGUACAGAAGAGGAAACCAGGCUUGCAAAAGCGUACAUAGAAGCUCUCCGGGUAGAAUAUUCAACCACUUAACACAUAUAAUUCUAAGUCCCAAACCUUAUUUAGUCUUUACGAUAAUAGCAAUUAUUCCGAAUCUAUUUAAUACACACUGCUGAUUGGUAACACAUGCUUCGAGUUUUCACAAGUUUUCCUUUCGAAUACUGAAGUUUGUUUGCUUGCUUGUUUUAAGCAAGUAAUAAGGAGAAAAAAGCUUGAAGAUAUACAUUAAUUAAAGUGUCUAGAAGGUUCGGCACAACAAAGAAUGAUGUAUACAUUUUCACCAAGAUGAGAAUGAAUGAAAUCUCUUGGAUCAUAAUACUUUAGGAUUUGUCUAUUUAUGGGAUGUUUUGUGGUUAUUUUUACUGCCCAGCCAGCAUGGAGAUUCUUAUUUUUUUCUUUUUGCACCAAGACAGAAGUAUUUUAAUAUUUGCUUUGGGAAUAGUUUUAUUUUUAGCUAUUUCCACCUACUUUUUGCAUUCAUUCACAAUCCACUGUU